GACGAACGCUGGCGGCGUGCUUAACACAUGCAAGUCGAACGGAAAGGCCCUGCGUUUGUGGGGUGAUCGAGUGGCGAACGGGUGAGUAAGACGUGAGUAACCUGCCCUUGACUUUGGGAUAACUUCAGGAAACUGGGCCUAAUACCGGAUAGGAGCCCCCGCUGCAUGGUGGGGGUUGGAAAGUCUCGGCGGUUGCGGAUGGACUCGCGGCUUAUCAGCUUGUUGGUGGGGUAGUGGCUUACCAAGGCUGUGACCGGUAGGCGGCCUGAGAGGGUGACCGGCGACAUUGGGACUGAGAUACGGCCCAGACUCCUACGGGAGGCAGCAGUGGGGAAUAUUGCACAGUGGGCGGAAGCCUGAUGCAGCGACGCCGCGUGCGGGAUGACGGCCUUCGGGUUGUAAACCGCUUUCGCCUGUGACGAAGCGUGAGUGACGGUAAUGGGUAAAGAAGCACCGGCUAACUACGUG
rnacentral:rRNA from 1 species